CCUAGGGGGGGCAGCAGUGGGGAAUAUUGGACAAUGGGCGAAAGCCUGAUCCAGCCAUGCCGCGUGUGUGAAGAAGGCCUUCGGGUUGUAAAGCACUUUCAGUGGGGAAGAAAGCCUUGGGGCUAAUACCCUCGAGGAAGGACAUCACCCACAGAAGAAGCACCGGCUAACUCCGUGCCAGCAGCCGCGGUAAUACGGAGGGUGCGAGCGUUAAUCGGAAUUACUGGGCGUAAAGCGCGCGUAGGCGGUCUGAUAAGCCGGUUGUGAAAGCCCCGGGCUCAACCUGGGAACGGCAUCCGGAACGGUCAGGCAGAGGGGCAGGAGAGGGAGGAAGAAUUCCCGGUGUAGCGGUGAAAUGCGUAGAGAGCGGGAGGAAUACCAGUGGCGAAGGCGGCCUUCUGGACUGACACUGACGCUGAGGUGCGAAAGCGUGGGUAGCAAACAGGAUUAGAUACCCCAGUAGU
rnacentral:rRNA from 1 species